GAAUUUUUUUUGUCUGAUUCCAGCAAAAAGAAACUAUGAAAUGGGCAGCAUGAAGAGCCAUCAAAUUAAAUUUAAGUGUUGAUAACAAAUGGCACGGUCUCUGCUGUAAAGAGUUUGCUACAGCUCCCCAGAGUCCCUGGGAAUGAAGGUAGCUGUCAGCAAUCUCACCAGAUUUUCAAUGCGUGGACUUGACCUGUGUCAUUUCUUGAGGCUCCUGGCUUAAUGCUGCUAUAAAAGGCUUUGAUGAGGAGAUUUUUAGAUCUUCACUUACCAGCAACCUGCCCACACCAUUGCUGGGUAUUUGGUCCUACUGAAUCAGGCUUCUCAGUGAUGCCAUUAAAAGCUUCCUCACUUCCCAAACCUUCUGGGUUACUCCUCCUCCACCCAGGGGAGAGCAGCUUUCACAGUCUGGAAAUUAGGGGUGGAGACUGAAAACGACUAAUGACGUUGCUGUCCUGGGACUCUCCAUAGAUGUAAAAGUAUUGAUUGCCUACCAUGGGGAAGGUGGACGCCAUGUUCUGAAGACACUAGAGUAGCCUCUGUGCUGACCCAUGCAUGAGGGAUUGAGCUGUUGUCAAUAGCCUUCCUAUGAGGGACUGACUGUGGAAUGUCUUCCAUCCAGUUCCAUUGGGUACCAGGUUCCCAAGGACACAUGGUUUGCCUCCUGAGGUUGCAG